rnacentral:lncRNA from 1 species
GGACAAACAUUUGGUUGCCCAAAUGUGAUGCACGGUACAUUCGAACAAGCUCAGAUAUUAUAUGUUGUUCGUAUGUCACGCAUGAAAAACAUAAGUCUUCGAGUUACGGCUUCAAGAAGAUCACAGAGCAUAUAUUCGAAGGCAUCGUCGGAAGCUUGACUGAGUGCAGCAGAUCUCAGCCUUUCAUAAUACAGGUACUUCACACCAAAGGGGGUAAUAAAUUGAUCAUUUUCGCCACUUCCAUUUAUAUCAAAAGCAGACAACAUGGACAUCGGGGAAAUUUCCUUCUCGAAGGAAGAUAAAGUCAAAACAGACCUCCCAGCAGCCCAUAGCCUCUUUGGAGCCCGAACAACAACCAAAGGAGGAGGCCAGCCAGACGAUCU